ensembl:snRNA U6 U6 spliceosomal RNA
GUGCUUGCUUCGGCAGCACGUAUACUAAAAUUGGAACGACACAGAGAAGAUUAGCAUGGCCCCUGCGCAAGGUUGACGUGCAAAUUCGUGAAGCGUUCCAUAUUUUU